AACGAACGCUGGCGGCGUGCUUAACACAUGCAAGUCGAACGCGAAAGGGAUCUUCGGAUCCCCGGUAGAGUGGCGCACGGGUGAGUAACGCGUAAAUAAUCUACCCUGAUGUCUGGAAUAAUUAGCCGAAAGGCUGACUAAUACGGGAUACAUGCUUAGCUGUUGGGUUAAGCAGGAAAGGUGGCCUCUAUUUAUAAGCUAUCGCAUUGGGAUGAGUUUGCGUACCAUUAGCUAGUUGGUGGGGUAAGAGCCCACCAAGGCGACGAUGGUUAGCGGGUCUGAGAGGAUGAUCCGCCACACUGGCACUGGAACACGGGCCAGACUCCUACGGGAGGCAGCAGUGAGGAAUAUUGCGCAAUGGGGGCAACCCUGACGCAGCGACGCCGCGUGAGUGAGGAAGGCCUUCGGGUCGUAAAGCUCUGUCAGCAGGGAAGAAGUGCAUGAUGGCUAAUAUCCAUUGUGUUUGAUGGUACCUGCAAAGGAAGCACCGGCUAACUCCGUGCCAGCCGCCGCCGUAAAAC
rnacentral:rRNA from 1 species